rnacentral:sRNA from 1 species
UCAAGCCGUCGGAUGUCUUCCUCCUCCCAGACACCCGACGGUGAAUGCGGUGCUCCUCCUCCCGCGCCGUAUUCGAAAUCGAAGCCCGCUGCCACCUCCUCCCGGCAGCGGGCUUUUCU